CAAUAGGCAGCUAAAUGAACUCUAAUUCUUUGUCUAAUCCCUAAAGUCUUUUGCUCCAAAUUUCAGUCUACUUUGUCACAAAGUUUACUGCUCAAACAUCUGCUAAUAACAUUCAAACAAAUUAAAAAACUAUGAUUGAACAUCCAUACAUAUAUGCUUCAAUAGAUCUUUCACACAACGCUACAUUCACUAAACCUCAUCAUACUUACUUCCUUCAAACCAUAACAUAUCUAAGUGGAGCUAAUUUGGUCAUAUAACAUGUGAUGAAUUUCCAAAGAAAUGCAGAAGCUGCAUUAUCACAAAUAUGCCGCAAUGUUUCGAAUUACCUCACCAUGUUAGACAUUUUUUCAAAUGAUACACAACGACACAUCUAUUGCACAUAUAGGAUGGUAGAAACUGAAAUUUAGGCAGAUGCACAAAAUUAGACAAAAGAUUUAACAUAUCUGAAUCAUUUAGUGAAAGCAACACGGAGAGCUGUAGAGAUUACCUAAUUGAGCUUAGAUAACAACAGUCAAGAGACCAAACCAAGCUGAAUACAGCUACAAUUUGGAGCUCAUCCACAAAUUUAAAGGAGAACAACAACAAAAGUAAUGAAUCUAGCUGAAUCCACUUUGAAACCCAUGAAGAAAGAAUUCGAGUUUUGAAAUAAACUUUUCUUCAAUAUUUCUUCGAUUUUGUUGGGGUUCACGUUCAUGAGAAGAUGAAGAGAGAGAAGAGGGAGGGUAGCGCCGUUGCUAGGUUCCAGUCAUGGAAUGGGGAUCUCUAUGAUUUCUUGUGUUUUUGAUUGAGGAUGAGAGAAUCAAGCUUUUGUUUUGAGAUGAGCGUCCCUUUUGGAAUGGUUGAAAUGGCGUUAGAGACGGUGGGAGUCUCUGACCUUGUUCUCUGAUGUUGAAGACCAGAGAUGCGCUGCUCCUCGUUUUCUUUUUUUUUUAGGGGAGGGUGCAGGGAUCUAAUGGUCUGUUUU
rnacentral:lncRNA from 1 species